AUGAACGCUGGCGUCGUGCCUAAUACAUGCCAGUCGAGCGAACAGACGAGGAGCUUGCUCCUCUGACGUUAGCGGCGGACGGGUGAGUAACACGUGGAUAACCUACCUAUAAGACUGGGAUAACUUCGGGAAACCGGAGCUAAUACCGGAUAAUAUAUUGAACCGCAUGGUUCAAUAGUGAAAGACGGUUUUGCUGUCACUUAUAGAUGGAUCCGCGCCGCAUUAGCUAGUUGGUAAGGUAACGGCUUACCAAGGCAACGAUGCGUAGCCGACCUGAGAGGGUGAUCGGCCACACUGGAACUGAGACACGGUCCAGACUCCUACGGGAGGCAGCAGUAGGGAAUCUUCCGCAAUGGGCGAAAGCCUGACGGAGCAACGCCGCGUGAGUGAUGAAGGUCUUCGGAUCGUAAAACUCUGUUAUUAGGGAAGAACAAAUGUGUAAGUAACUAUGCACGUCUUGACGGUACCUAAUCAGAAAGCCACGGCUAACUACGUG
rnacentral:rRNA from 1 species